rnacentral:rRNA from 1 species
CCUACGGGAGGCAGCAGUGAGGAAUAUUGGUCAAUGGCCGAGAGGCUGAACCAGCCAAGUCGCGUGAGGGAAGACGGCCCUACGGGUUGUAAACCUCUUUUGUCGGGGAGCAAAGAUAGUCACGUGUGACUCAUUGAGAGUACCCGACGAAAAAGCAUCGGCUAACUCCGUGCCAGCAGCCGCGGUAAUACGGAGGAUGCGAGCGUUAUCCAGAUUUAUUGGGUUUAAAGGGUGCGCAGGCGGAGGUGCAAGUCAGCGGUAAAAUUGCGGGGCUCAACCCCGUAGUGCCGUUGAAACUGCAUCCCUUGAGUGCGCGAGAAGUAUGCGGAAUGCGUGGUGUAGCGGUGAAAUGCAUAGAUAUCACGCAGAACUCCGAUUGCGAAGGCAGCAUACCGGCGCGCAACUGACGCUGAUGCACGAAAGCGUGGGUAUCGAACAGGAUUAGAUACCCCAGUAGUC